rnacentral:rRNA from 1 species
GACGAACGCUGGCGGCGUGCCUAAUACAUGCAAGUCGAGCGCAGGAAACUGACGGAACUCUUCGGAGGGAAGGCAGUGGAAUGAGCGGCGGACGGGUGAGUAACACGUAAGGAACCUGCCUCAAGGAUUGGGAUAACUCCGAGAAAUCGGAGCUAAUACCGGAUAGUUCAACGGACCGCAUAGUCCGCGGAUGAAAGGCGCUCCGGCGUCACCUUGAGAUGGCCUUGCGGUGCAUUAGCUAGUUGGGGGGGUAACGGCCCACCAAGGCGACGAUGCAUAGCCGACGUGAGAGGGUGAUCGGCCACACUGGGACUGAGACACGGCCCAGACUCCUACGGGAGGCAGCAGUAGGGAAUCUUCCACAAUGGACGAAAGUCUGAUGGAGCAACGCCGCGUGAGUGAUGAAGGUUUUCGGAUCGUAAAACUCUGUUGUAAGGGAAGAACACGUACGAGAGGGAAUGCUCGUACCUUGACGGUACCUUACGAGAAAGCCACGGCUAACUACGUGCCAGCAGCCGCGGUAAAAC